rnacentral:rRNA from 1 species
UGCCAGCCGCCGCGGUAAUACGGAGGGUGCGAGCGUUAAUCGGAAUUACUGGGCGUAAAGCGCAUGCAGGUGGUCUGUUAAGUCAGAUGUGAAAGCCCGGGGCUCAACCUCGGAACCGCAUUUGAAACUGGCAGACUAGAGUGCUGUAGAGGGGGGUAGAAUUUCAGGUGUAGCGGUGAAAUGCGUAGAGAUCUGAAGGAAUACCAGUGGCGAAGGCGGCCCCCUGGACAGACACUGACACUCAGAUGCGAAUGCGUGGGGAGCAAACAGGAUUAGAUA